rnacentral:lncRNA from 1 species
GAAAUCACGAACUAGCAUUCGUGAGGAGCUGAUCAGACGGGAGCUUCGUGUGGAUGAUCCACAGAGGCCAGACAUUUGUGUGGCUACGACGUGAUGAUCAGAGCCCCCCGACGGUGAUCAGAUUACAGUGAUCGACUACCCACAAAAGGUGAUGUGUUCUGAACACAGUACUGUAAAAGGUUUACUGAUUCAAAUUUGAAUUUCAAAUUUAAAUGCAUGCUGUUGUAUCAUAUUUAGAUCCUAGUGUAGGAUU